UGGCACAGUGGUUAAAGUGCUUGGCUGCUAACCAAAAGCUUGGUAGUUAGAAUCUACC
rnacentral:tRNA from 1 species